GAUGAAGAACGCAGUAAAAUGCGAUAAGUAAUGUGAAUUGCAGAAUUCAGUGAAUCAUCGAAUCUUUGAACGCACAUUGCGCCCGCUGGUAUUCCGGCGGGCAUGCCUGUUCGAGCGUCAUUUCAACCCUCAAGCCCCCGGGUUUGGUGUUGGGGAUCGGCUCUGCCCUCUGGGCGGUGCCGCCCCCGAAAUACAUUGGCGGUCUCGCUGCAGCCUCCAUUGCGUAGUAGCUAACACCUCGCAACUGGAACGCGGCGCGGCCAUGCCGUAAAACCCCAACUUCUGAAUGUUGACCUCGGAUCAGGUAGGAAUACCCGCUGAACUUAAGCAUAUCAAUAAGCGGAGGA
rnacentral:misc_RNA from 1 species